UGAGGCUAUACCAACAGGGUUACAUCAAAUUUGGAACUACUGGCUCUCAGAAAUAUGUCAUAUGCACCAUUUCAAAAUUCUGCGAACUUAAAUUGUUAUGAAAAAUUGGAAAUAAAUAUUUUUGUCAACGCAAGCCUUUGCCUUUGCAGUUGAUGUUGAAAAAAACGCGUUUAGCUCCGAGGAAACUCCUUUCUAUUCCUAGAUUGAAACUGCAAGCUGCCAUUUUUUGGUGGCCACCGAAUUGCUGAGAUCUUAGCCAGUAAUACGUCAACACAAUGGAACUGGGUACCGUCAUCUUUGAACACCGUGGACGCUGCCCCUCGUUUAAGUUAUUUACCAAAAAUAUGUAACGACAGUCCUUGGAUACUUGGUCCAACCUUCUUGAAAUCGCCACGAUCAGACUGGCCACAAAUGAUUGACAUAGCCUCAUCGGAACCUUUGGAAGAGGAACUUUCCGAACGCAAAAUUCUAAGGUGUCAGGUACGAGUCUCAGUAAUAGAUUUCAAUCAAUUCUCUUCUUAUAGUAAUCUGAAGCGCGUUGUGCCCUGGGUAAUGCGUGGGUAAAGAAUUUGGCUUAAACUCCGUCCAAAUAUCCAACGGAUCUUUGACUGCCGACGAACUUUCUGAUGCCGAAUUUGAGAUAUGUAGACUGGUCCAGCUAAGCAACAAAGUGAUGUUAAAGGAUAGUGCAAUUUAUGGAAUUUCGCCUUACAUAGAUACAAAUGUUCGGGACGACCACCUAUUCUACUUCCGAAGGAUCACAAAGUGUCCACCCUCAUCAUGAGAUACUUUCAUGUAAAAUAUCAUCAUCAAAAUCAAGCGGUUAUGAUCACGAAAGUCGACAAAAGUUUUGGCUUCCUCACGCCUGGAAAUUCCUUAACAAAGUAACGCUCGAACGUUUAAGAUGUAUCCGAGGAUUACCAAAAACUCCACAGAUGGGUCAGUUGCCACCUGAUCGUCUGACUCCCUACGUCUGGCCAUUUACACAUACAGAGGUGGAUUUGUUUGGUCCACUGACCGUAUCAGUCGGUCGCCGCCACGAAAAGCGCUGGACAGUUAUUUUUACUUGCAUAACAUGCAGAGCAACUCAUCUUGAACUAGCUGCAAACCUUUCCACAGAUGCAUUUAUAAUAUAUCUGCGAAAUUUCGUUAACCGUAGGGGAACACCUAUAAUUAUUCGAAGCGAUAACGGGACAAACUUAAUCGGUGCUAAUAACGAGCUCAAGGUUCAUGAGAGUUUGUUGGAUUUAGGUGACAUAGCGGUCGAAGCGGCUCAAAGGGGUAUUAAGUGGAUCGUAAACUGCUCACUUCAACCUAACUCCGGUGGAUGUUGGGAAAGGUUAAUUUAAAUCAAAAAGGAAUUGUUGAAAAAAACUUUACGCGAUAUUUACCCACGCGUGGAGUCCCUACAGUCAAUAUUGAUAGAAGCGGAAAACAUUCUGAAUGCGCGAUCUUUAACUGAAAUACCCUUAACACAUGAGGCAGAAGAUCCUUUGACACCGUAAGCACAAAUUCAACGCAAACCGUGGGGUUUGCAUACACCCAUCGGAUAAAACUAUUUGCCUAAGGAAGCAAUGGAGGAUCGCUCAAGUCCUUAAGGAUCGCUUAUGGAAGAGGUGGAUAGUGGAGUAUCUCCCUCAACCCAUAUGUAGAUCUAAAUGACACCAGAAGACAACUCCAUUUCAAGAGGACGACUUAGUACUUAUAAUGGACGCCACUGCACCGAGAAGUACUUGGAAAAAAGAAAGAGUCGUAAAGGUGUUUGUCGGAAAGGAUCAACAAGUUCGUUCUGCUGACGUCAAAACUGAAGAUAGCGUGCUAUGUCGACCAACAUACAACUUAAUUAAACUUCAGUUAAGUGGUUGGAGCCAAUUUUUUACCCGUUACUCGUAAACUAAAAGGGUAUACAAGAUUCGUUGGAAAGUAUGUGACAUGUAGAAGGAAGCUUUUCUUGAUCAGGAUCACUAGCCGAAUCGAUCUUGCCAUGUCCAUCUGUCCGUAUGAACGCUGAGAUCUCGGAAGCUAUAACAGCUAGGACAGCCAGACUUGGCAUGCAGGUUCCUGGGCUUCCAGCGCAGCGCACGUUUGUUUCAGCGGAGUGCCGCGCCGACUCUGUAGCGCUUACAGUUUAUAUGAUAAAAACAAAAUUUUAACUGAAGUGGAUUUGUGUCAUAAAUACCUAUCGACUUUCGACUGACCUAAAAAAAUUUGCCACGCCCAUUCUAACAGCCACAAACGGCUUAAACGCUUAAAUCUGUCUGCCGCCCACAUAAAAUCUACUGAAAUAGCCAGUCGGUGGCGCCCUAAAAUAUCACUUUGCUGGGUAUAUAUCUCCAUUUUCCUUUUGCUCCUUUAAGCUAUGUAUAUACAUUACAUUAA